rnacentral:rRNA from 1 species
UACGGAGGGUGCAAGCGUUAUCCGGAUUCACUGGGUUUAAAGGGUGCGUAGGUGGGAAUGUAAGUCAGUGGUGAAAUCUCCGUGCUUAACAUGGAAACUGCCAUUGAUACUAUGUUUCUUGAAUUUUCUGGAGGUAAGCGGAAUAUGUCAUGUAGCGGUGAAAUGCUUAGAUAUGACAUAGAACACCGAUAGCGAAGGCAGCUUGCUACACAAUAAUUGACGCUGAGGCACGAAAGCGUGGGGAUCAAACAGG